rnacentral:rRNA from 1 species
GCGGGUGGGGGGCGCGGAGGACAUUA